GGGGGCGAAACGGGUUCGACGGAGGUAAAGAAGCUUAAGUUGCAUGCCGAGGUCCUUGCUGCUCGUUAAACAGUUUGGAAUAAAACAAACGCAGACGAUUACGCGUACGCUGUAGCCGCUUAAUCGCGGCUGCCGUCUCCAGGUUCUGCUCCCGCGGGGACCGACGAGGCGUCGACUAAGCGGGAUGGCUGCCGACAUGAUGCUCGCAGUGGCGGCGGUGACAUCUAGUGGGCUGGCUCCGGUGAAAUCCCGUCCGCAGGAGUUCCCCGGCGCGAGAUUAAAAGUGCGAAAUAAGCAUGUAGAAGCUUAGGCGGAAUGCUUUCGGACGCGGGUUCAACUCCCGCCGCCUCCACCA
rnacentral:tmRNA from 1 species